rfam:Trametes pubescens strain FBCC735 TRAPTBscaffold_1041, whole genome shotgun sequence.
GGCGAGAUGGCCGAGCGGUCUAAGGCGCCAGACUAAGGCGGCUCUUCGCAUAUCUGGUCCUCACGGGCGUGGGUUCGAAUCCCACUCUCGUCA